rnacentral:rRNA from 1 species
CCUACGGGAGGCAGCAGUGGGGAAUUUUGGACAAUGGGCGCAAGCCUGAUCCAGCAAUGCCGCGUGAGUGAAGAAGGCCUUCGGGUUGUAAAGCUCUUUUGUCAGGGAAGAAACGGUCUACUCUAAUACAGUGGGCUAAUGACGGUACCUGAAGAAUAAGCACCGGCUAACUACGUGCCAGCAGCCGCGGUAAUACGUAGGGUGCAAGCGUUAAUCGGAAUUACUGGGCGUAAAGCGUGCGCAGGCGGUUAUAUAAGUCAGAUGUGAAAUCCCCGGGCUCAACCUGGGAACUGCAUUUGAGACUGUAUGGCUAGAGUGUGUCAGAGGGGGGUAGAAUUCCACGUGUAGCAGUGAAAUGCGUAGAUAUGUGGAGGAAUACCGAUGGCGAAGGCAGCCCCCUGGGAUAACACUGACGCUCAUGCACGAAAGCGUGGGGAGCAAACAGGAUUAGAUACCCUGGUAGUCCACGCCCUAAACGAUGUCUACUAGUUGUCGGGACUUAAUUGUCUUGGUAACGCAGCUAACGCGUGAAGUAGACCGCCUGGGGAGUACGGUUCGCAAGAUUAAAACUCAAGGAUUGACGG